rnacentral:rRNA from 1 species
UUCCGGUUGAUCCCGCCGGAGGUCACUGCUAUCGGGGUUCGAUUAAGCCAUGCGAGUCGAGAGGGUUCAGACCCUCGGCGGACUGCUCAGUAACACGUGGAUAAUCUGCCCUAUGGUGGAGGAUAACCCCGGGAAACUGGGGAUAAUACUCCAUAAGUCAGGAGUACUGGAAUGUCUCCUAACUGAAAGUUUCGGCGCCAUAGGAUGAAUCUGCGGCCGAUUAGGUAGUUGUUGGGGUAACGGCCCAACAAGCCCGUAAUCGGUACGGGUUGUGGGAGCAAGAGCCCGGAGAUGGAAUCUGAGACACGAUUCCAGGCCCUACGGGGCGCAGCAGGCGCGAAAACUUUACAAUGCAGGAAACUGUGAUAAGGGAACCCCGAGUGCCCGUACACGCGGGCUGUCCCGGUGUUUAAAACACAUCGGAAGAAAGGGCCGGGCAAGACCGGUGCCAGCCGCCGCGGUAAUACCGGCGGCUCGAGUGGUGACCACUUUUAUUGGGCUUAAAGCGUUCGUAGCUUGAUUUUUAAGUCUCUUGGGAAAUCUCACGGCUUAACUGUGAGGCGUCUAAGAGAUACUGGGAAUCUAGGGACCGGGAGAGGUAAGAGGUACUUCAGGGGUAGAAGUGAAAUUCUGUAAUCCUUGAGGGACCACCGAUGGCGAAGGCAUCUUACCAGAACGGCUUCGACAGUGAGGAACGAAAGCUGGGGGAGCGAACGGGAUUAGAUACCCCGGUAGUCCCAGCCGUAAACUAUGCGCGUUAGGUGUGCCUGUAACUACGAGUUACCGGGGUGCCGAAGUGAAAACGUGAAACGUGCCGCCUGGGAAGUACGGUCGCAAGGCUGAAACUUAAAGGAAUUGGCGGGGGAGCACCACAACGGGUGGAGCCUGCGGUUUAAUUGG